GUCUACGGCCAUACCACCCUGAACACGCCCGAUCUCGUCUGAUCUCGGAAGCUGAGCAGGGUCGGGCCUGGUUAGUACUUGGAUGGGAGACAAGUAUGUCCUUUGUGGGGUCAGUUCUAGGCAGUUAUAGGAA
rnacentral:rRNA from 1 species